rnacentral:rRNA from 1 species
UACGGAGGGUGCGAGCGUUGUCCGGAAUCACUGGGCGUAAAGGGCGCGUAGGUGGCGCGGGAAGUCAACGGUGAAAGUUCGGGGCUCAACCCUGAAUCGGCCGUCGAUACUCCCGGGCUCGAGCACUGUAGAGGCAGAUGGAAUUCCGGGUGUAGCGGUGGAAUGCGUAGAGAUCCGGAAGAACACCGAUGGCGAAGGCAGCCCCCUGGGCCAAUACUGACGCUCAUGCACGAAAGCGUGGGGAGCAAACAGG